rnacentral:ncRNA from 1 species
CAGAGUAGGGAAGGCGCGUUAAGUGCCGGCAGACGGGAUGUUGCUGCCGGACGAAAGCGGUGAAAGCCGCUGCGGUGCCUACCGCGUCCGCUG